GAGAGAGAGAGAGAGAGAGAGAGAGACUGGUCUUAAUUUUAACUCAGAAAGAAAAACUAAGUUAAUUUGCAGCCUGCUCUCAAGAGCUUCAUUGAGGAUCGUCGGCGCUCAGAGGGCAUGUGGACAUCCAGCUCUUGACAUAAAAACAUCGGAACCUAUAACUGGAUCCUGUCAAACAAACGACAGCAAAAAAAUAUAACAGCUGCCACGAAGUCAAAUUGAGAGAUAAAGCUUUGGAGGCUAAGGACCUUCUCAGAAGUGGACUAAAGGGCUUGCUGAAAUCUUUAAGCAAUGUUACGGAUCCCAGGGUAUCUUCUGGGCACUAAGUCAAAUAAGGCCUCUUGCCUGAGGUGUCAAUAUUUUUGGAAUCCUCUGCAAGCGUCCCCGGCCUUGGCAAGUGUGACCAUUCUAUCCCCACCCGACUGCUGCAGCAUUUAUACCAAGGGUGGCAGGCAACACAUUGUUUGGAGAAAAUCCAUUUUCUGUGAUAUUUCAUUGAAAGCAUCUUUUGGAGGGCAAGCCACCACAGCACAGAGGAUGGCACAUCGAGAGGAACAGAGGGAGACAGAAAGUGGUAACGGCAAGCCAGGCUGCCCAGCUCAGAAGCAACGCAGGCAAUGACCCUGAACAUGAGGCGUCUUUAUAGAGGCAAUCAGCUGCCAGCAAUUGAGAAACAUACAACACUGUGGUUUGUAUUUAAAAAAAAAAUACAUAUUUAUCUAAAAGAUUGAGGUGUAGAGAUGGAUGGAACACGCUGAAUAUAGUCUCGGGGCUAGAGUUGGAGAUACUCUGAGGUCCCAAUGCUCAAGAGAUCAUGAAACAUGAAACUAGAGAAAUACCAUGUUUAUACAUCAGCCCCAACACUAAUCUGAGCAUAGAGGCUUCAAAUUAUUAAUUAUAUUAGUUUCAAUAAAGGAUGCUUCGGUGACUAAGAUCAUGCAAUAAAAUACAUACAAGGAAGUAAAGCAUGCAGCCCUCUUUGCUUUCAUAGAUCACAUUUCCUCUGAAUUUUUCUGACACCAAAAUGUCACAUACAGGCAGAUAAUUCUCAGUAUGCUAUUAUAAGGGAAAGGCAGGGGAUAAUGGGAGGUACAAAUAAUGCUUUUAUUAUGUAACUUCAGUAGUUUGCAUUUUUAUUUUUAAGUUCCUUCACUUUGAGAUUAAAGUAUUAUUGCCACAUCACUCCUUUCCCUUUUAUCCCUCCACAUCUCCCCAUGUACCUCUCCUUGUUAUUUUUUAAAGCCAGGGGCUCCUUUUAAAUUAAUUGUUAUUACAUGCGUAGAUGUAUAUGUAUAUACCUAUAUUUUCCUAAAUUUAACUUACUAAGUCUCUAUAAUGUUCCUUGUAUGUAUGUUUUUAGGACUAUUAGUUACUGGAUAACUGAUUGGGGCGCUCUUCCCUGGAGAAAACUGUUGCCUAUCGUUCUUCAAGUACUGUUGAGGCCUUGUGGAUUUUACCCAGUGCACUUGCGCAUGUCUCUUGGUGACUUCAUCGUUCAACUCAUGCUUAGGAAAUCAUUGUACAUUUUAAAAUCUGUCUUUCAGCUCAAUUCUUACAACUGUCUUGUGUUCUUCUCCUCAAGCAUAAUAUGAAAUGUUAACACAGCACCCAGAACUUUCUCUGAACUCUACUGAGACUGCAUGAAGACUUGGCGAUUUGAGCGAACACUUGAGUGGAGCCUAUGUCUGCAUGGACUGCAGACGUCUCUCUAGUGUUGAAGGGUGGUUGUGUUCUCAUAUGUCUCCUCAGUGCUUCAGAAAGUGCUUACAUCUCUUGUGAAUCUCCACAGCUUUGAUUAAAAGUAUAAGCUACUGCCUUUGGGUGUGCAGAUAUAAAACAUUGAGCUGAUUUUUUGCUGAGCCUGUAACAGGCAGUAAAUCUUUUAUGACCUUACGACUUUUUGACAUGAGGCAAAUACGAGGAAAAAAAAAGAAUGUUUUCAACUUGUAAGUAUUUUAGAUUGUAAGCACAUAGGCGUUUCCAAAGGUUGUGUAAUAACCUGCUUCCACUGCCUCAUUCAUGUUCUUUUUACUUCAGUAAACCUAAAAAUUCUACAGUGUAUGGUAGAGAGGAACAAUAUUCAACAUGGGAAGAUUGACCUGGAUAUUUGACUCGAAAAUUCAAACAUGUCUAGAUUGAGAGUUUGCAGAUUAUGGGCAGCCGACUCUAGUGGUGGGUACCAUUCUCUGACAAGAGCAGACCAAGGAUGAGAUUCGGUGAAAGCUAGCUGCCACUCAGAUGGAACUGCUGUAGUCUUCCCUGUACUUUCUAUACUUUUCUUCUCUCCUUUUCAGAUUUCCAGCAGUGUCUACUUCCCUGAACACAGAUUCAUGGUGAGUGCCCUACCUUGUAUGAGGCUCCUGUUCAUUUAAGCUUGCAUGGAAUGAGAUCCCAACUGUGCUUUUCUCUGGUGACAUGAGCCCUUCCAAGAGAGAUUUCAGCAGCCAGCAGGACAUCUGUAUCUUCAACCCUCCAAACCAAUGUGACAAAAAUAGCCAUAUGUUCUGGAUCUCUGAGCACGGACCCUACUUCAAAUAUUAUGUCACUGUCAGGCCAUGUGUCUCAAUGUUGUGUUUGGAAAACAUGGCUGCCAGAAAUACCUCGUCCCCUCCCAGGAGUGGCUGCAAGGCGGGAUCUGCCUCCUGCAGACAGAAGACGACAUUGAAGGAGGAGUAUUCCAAGGAGAUCAAGGCAGUCACCACUUCCAUCAAACCCUUUCUAACUUUGGGCCAUGGAGCCCUGGGGGAGGGAGUGCAGGGUGUUUAUGACAUUUAGCCGCUUUCCCAGAACUCUUUUAUGUACUUUUAUCUUCAAAAAGAAAGAACAUAUUAAAGCGACAUAACUGAGGAGGAGCAAUACUACAUAAAGUUUAUGUUUUCCGAUCUGUUGCCCCAGAAAAUGCUUUGAUAGAACACACUUGGAGCAACACAGAUCAUUUCAAAGAAUAUCUGAGCGAUAGACCUCUUCAUAUUGCAGUUUGGCUGGCACAGAGAGACAGCUAAUUGUGAUUAGUCAAAUUCUGAUCAAACAUAUUCCUUCCUGCCCCAGACAAAAGUAAAACUGCAGGGAAAGAAAGCUUGCCAUUGGAACUGCUUUCCUAAUGAAUGCAGUUUAUAUGGGGCUGGCUGACGUGUUUCCUUUUUAAGGCUGGUUCACAGCAUCUUGCCCAGACUGGCCUUGAGCACCUGGGCUGACAUGAGCCUCCCAUAUCAGCUCCCAGAGGAUCAGGGACUCAGAGCAAACACCACUACACCUGUCUUGAGGGUGGUUAAUUUUAAAUCAUUAAUCAGGUAGGGCAAUAAAACAAAAGGAAGUUACUUUAUUUAGAAAAAAAUAUACUGAUGUCAUUUCUCUAUUUUGUUUUGUAAAUUUAUGGGGUAUUGGCGAUUGAUUAUAGAUAGGGCAAUUUAUUAUAGAUAUGAAUUUGGGGGGUGUUUGUAAAGCCAAACUGUCAGUGAUGGUAAAAGAUACUGAGGACACUCCCUUCAUCUUAGGAUAUGUCAAGAUGAAAUGUUGACAUCAAUACUUACUUGUUUGUAGCAGCCUAGCACAUCUGCUGAGCAUUGUCCCUGAUGAGAUGCUUGCUGGGAGAGCUCUGGUGUGGGGUGAUUUUUAGAGACACACUCAGCCUACGCAUAGUAUAGAAUCUUAAAUCUUACUUAUAUCACGCAGAAGGACAGGGUAGAGCCAGUUUUCAGAUAUGUGGUCAAUCCAUCUGUCUGGCUGCAUAUAAAACAUUUCUUUAUGUAUUUGUUCCUUCUCUAGAUCAGGAUGAAAUUAUGCUCCAGUCUCCUGGAAUUAGCUACUUCAAAACGAAAUGAAAUCAGCAACUAAUACUUUGUAUGGGGAGUAGGAUUAUAAAAAUUAGAGGGGGAAAAACUCAGUAUCUAAAACUGGCUUUGGAGUUGAUCACAGGUUCACAGAGGCCACAGGAAGGGGGCUCUGAACAUUGACUAAGGGCACAUGUCUUUUCAGAGAGCAAAGAUUUAGGAUAUGAUGAGAGACAUCAAAUAUUCAUUAACUUCUUGUUUAUAGCGCAGAAGAAGUCUUACACCUAAA